GACGAACGCUGGCGGCGUGCUUAACACAUGCAAGUCGAACGGAAAGGCCCUGGUUUUGUUGGGUGCUCGGGUGGCGAACGGGUGAGUAACACGUGAGUAACCUGCCCCUUCCUUUUGGAUAACUUCAGGAAACUGGGGCUAAUACCGGAUAGGAGCUCCUGCUGCAUGGUGGGGGUUGGAAAGUUUCGGCGGUUGGGGAUGGACUCGCGGCUUAUCAGCUUGUUGGUGGGGUAGUGGCUUACCAAGGCUUUGACGGGUAGCCGGCCUGAGAGGGUGACCGGCCACAUUGGGACUGAGAUACGGCCCAGACUCCUACGGGAGGCAGCAGUGGGGAAUAUUGCACAAUGGGCGGAAGCCUGAUGCAGCAACGCCGCGUGCGGGAUGACGGCCUUCGGGUUGUAAACCGCUUUCGCCUGUGACGAAGCGUGAGUGACGGUAAUGGGUAAAGAAGCACCGGCUAACUACGUG
rnacentral:rRNA from 1 species